rnacentral:lncRNA from 1 species
GAGAGAGAGAGAGAGAGAGAGAGAGAGAGAGAGAGAAGAGAGGUGGUAUGAUAUGUUGUUCGUGUGCUGUGUUAUGAUGUGUGUGUAUUUUAGGUGGUUGAUGUAUGUUGUAUAUGUCUUUGGUAUUGUAUGGCAUAAUAUUGCGUAUGUGUGGUGUAGUGGGAUAUGAUGUAAUAUGUGUGUGUAGUGUGGUAUGAUUUGUGUAUGUGUGAGGUAUGGCAAUAUGUUGUAUAUUGCUGUAUAUGUGUAGUGUAGUGGUAUAUGGUGUGAUACUGUAUGUGCUGUGGUGUGGUAUAUAUAGUAUAAUAGAUGUGUGUGUGUUGUGCUAUGCUGUUGUAUACACACACACACACACACACACACACACACACACACAUAUAUAUAUAUAUAUAUAUAUAUAGUGUAGUGGUAUAUGGUGUGAUACUGUAUGUAGUGUGUAUAUACUGUGGUAUGGUAUGUAUAGUGUAGUAGGAGUGUGUGUGUGUGUGUGUGUGUGUGUGUGUGGUGUCUGUGCUGAGGCCGUGUCACUCCCCACAGCUGGUGAGAGCUGUGAGAAGCAGCAGCCAGCGUUCUGCCCUCUCUGCUGUUCCUUUCCCUGUAGCUGUGCAGGCAGUUCUCAAAGGCUCAGGCUUGCCGGCUUCCUGCAGACUCUCCAGUGAACCAGCCUUUGAACAGCAGACUGAGUCGGAGCAGCUCAAAGGGCCCUGAAGGCAGAAGUCGCUUCAGAGUGCACACCUGCGGGCAGUUCGUGACCCUUAUCUGCAUCUGAGCAGAGUGAACUACAGCUUGUCGGCCAGCUGGAGAGGUGCCAUGGAGGGAGUUGGUGCCCAGGGACUGGUGGGAUCUUAUGGAGGUUUGCCUUGAGGAUAUGACAUGGCAUACAGAGUGUUCUGUGUUCCAGUGGGAAGACUAUGUAUUCUAUAGAUUUGGAUGGAACAGUCUGCAGAUGUCUGAGCCGUCCGUUUGGUCUGGGAUACAGUGUCCUCCAGGACUGUUAGCUGUUUGCUUGAAGUCCCACCAAGUCUGCUGAGAGACCAAGUAUCAUUUUGUUUUUCCUGCAUCAUACUUAACAAACCAAAAG